CACAGAGUUGUGGUGUUUGCAUGUGUGUGCUGUGUCACUGCUGCACACACUUUAAGAGCUGUAGUGCUGAUCAGAGUGUGUUCAGUCCUUUCAGAGCCACUGACACGCAGCACAAUGAUGAUGGUACUGAUUCUACUGCUGGGGACACUGGGACUCCUCGCUCACCAGUCCUUUGGGGAAAUUGUCCUGACUCAGUCUCCAGGACCUCAGUCUGUUUCUCCAGGACAAUCUGUUACUCUCACCUGUACAGCCAGUCAGGAUAUUGAUGAUGACCUCGCCUGGUACCUGCAGAAACCUGGAGAAGCUCCUAAACUCCUGAUCUAUUCUGCAUCUACUCGUCAGUCUGGGAUUCCAGAUCGUUUCAGUGGCAGUGGAUAUGAUCGAGUAUUUAAUCUAAAAAUCUCUGGAGUUCAGUCUGAAGAUGCAGGAGAUUAUUACUGUCAGCAGGAUGACACCACUCCGUACACACAGUGUUAUAGCGCCGUACAAAAUCCUCCCUCAGCUGUAGAGGAAGUGCUCUGACUCAGAAACACACACUGAUCUGAGAACAGCUGCAGAGCUGCUAAAGCUGCACUCCACUGAACAUCAUCAACUCAAACCCACUACAGCAGUGAGCACUUUCAUCAUUAUUAGCGCUUUAAUAAUUUACAAUCAAUAGUUAAUUUAUUAAACAUGAUCUGAUAGUUUAUUCAUCAGAAGAUAAAUGUUAUAAUUACUAAAGUAACUCAUCAUGAGUGUUAUCAUAUUCUAUAAUGGUAUUAAUUAUAAUGUCAAAAAUAAUGACUUGCUGCUUUCAUUCAUUCAUUCAUUCAUUCAUUCAAAAGCUCCGAACCCCAUACUCCCGAAGCACC